rnacentral:rRNA from 1 species
CCUACGGGGGGCAGCAGUGGGGAAUAUUGGACAAUGGGGGCAACCCUGAUCCAGCCAUGCCGCGUGUGUGAAGAAGGCCCUCGGGUUGUAAAGCACUUUCAGUGAGGAAGAACGCCUGGUGGUUAAUACCCAUUAGGAAAGACAUCACUCACAGAAGAAGCACCGGCUAACUCCGUGCCAGCAGCCGCGGUAAUACGGAGGGUGCGAGCGUUAAUCGGAAUUACUGGGCGUAAAGCGCGCGUAGGUGGCUUGAUAAGCCGGUUGUGAAAGCCCCGGGCUCAACCUGGGAACGGCAUCCGGAACUGUCAAGCUAGAGUGCAGGAGAGGAAGGUAGAAUUCCCGGUGUAGCGGUGAAAUGCGUAGAGAUCGGGAGGAAUACCAGUGGCGAAGGCGGCCUUCUGGACUGACACUGACACUGAGGUGCGAAAGCGUGGGUAGCAAACAGGAUUAGAUACCCCAGUAGUC